CCUACGGGUGGCAGCAGUGAGGAAUAUUGGUCAAUGGGCGGAAGCCUGAACCAGCCAAGUAGCGCGCGGGAUGAAGGCCCUACGGGUCGUAAACCGCUUUUGCACGGGGAUAACACCCUCCACUUGUGGAGGUCUGCAGGUACCGUGCGAAUAAGCAUCGGCUAACUCCGUGCCAGCAGCCGCGGUAAUACGGGGGAUGCAAGCGUUAUCCGGAUUUAUUGGGUUUAAAGGGUGCGUAGGCUGUGAGGUAAGUCAGCGGUGAAAUACCCCCGCUCAACGGGGUGAAGUGCCAUUGAUACGGGCUUGCUAGAAUGCGGAUGCCGUGGGAGGAAUGUGUGGUGUAGCGGUGAAAUGCAUAGAUAUCACACAGAACACCGAUUGCGAAGGCAGCUAACGAAUCCGCGAUUGACGCGGAUGCACGAAAGCGUGGGUAUCAAACAGGAGUAGAUACCCCUGUAGUC
rnacentral:rRNA from 1 species